UAUUAACUCAAUGACAUUUUUAUUUGUUUUUACAUUGUUUGCAAACUGAUAUUUGACACAUAUUAAUGCCAAAAUAAUAAGCAAAACAGGUAAGCCCCCCAACACUUUUCUUUUACCUAAAAGUGUUGGCCCAAAACAGGUGGGGCUCUGCCCUGAAUAAUGGGUCAUCACUGGGUAGCAUCCACAUGAAUGAUUCUUAUUUACAAUAAAAGUGACUCCAACAUGACACAAAACAUAAUUUCCCAUUCAUUUCUACUGAACACAAAAUAAUCUAAAAUGAAAGCUGACAGUCUACACUUUAACCUCAUAGUAAUUGUAUCAUUUCAAAGUGCUGGAAUACAGAGCCAAAACAAAAGAAUUGUCACUGUCCCAAUACUUCUGGAGCUCGCUGUAUUACAUAGUACUAUAACCUACUCUUUGAAAACCACUUGCAAUGAACAAAUGAAUGCUCCAAUUCCUGGAUGGAGUGAGUGUACGUUAUGUUCCCAAAGCAAAUAAAUAACAUGAGUGGAGCCUAAAUAUACCUCCCUUCAAAACCAAUCUAAUGGGCUACUGUGGAGCAAGCUGAUUAACAUUAAGUAGUCAGUAGAUCUUUAUUGCCAAGGCUGGUCCUUCUGGGUCAUAUCCUGCUGUUAACCAAUGGCUAUUAGAUUACAUUAUACCAGGACUCAAUUACCUAAUGUUUUAGAAUCAGAAGAGCAGAAGACAGACUAUGUCAUUGUAGGUUAAUGUCUGAAUUAGAAAAUGGUGGUUUAAAUGCAGGCUUCAUUUUGGCUAAGGGAAAUAUCUAGCAUAACCACUUGGCACCUGGACAUUCUCUUGAAGAAAGAAAUUAUACAUCACAAAUGUGUUAUUACAUAUGGUAAUUUGAUCAAUUGAACCUUUGUCAUUAGAAAUGUCCAUUCCAUUGAUUAACAAAUCAAUCUGUGACUCAUUAUGUACCACGACCACCACCAAAAGUGAUCUUUUUCCUUUGCUUUUUCAUGAGCAUCCUUUCAUCAAACCUGCUGAUAGCAAUUUGUGAUGAAAGGUUUGCAGACCCAAUAGUGCUUAGAUACACUGACUCCUGCUACCUGUACACUGAGAAGACCUUGUGAGGUAAUUGAGUUGAUAAUUACCAAUCAGGCUUGUACAUUCCCGUUAAAUAACUCUGACAGUCUAGCACAACACUACCACGAUUAAAGCAAAGCAUGCUAUGAUGAAUCAUUUAUGACAGAGUCUCUCUUUGGUCCUUUCAUCCAGUAAAGUCAUGGUGGACUGUUUCCAGUAAAGCUCAGAGAGGGAACACGGUGGUCAAGGUGGACUGUUUCCAGUAAAGCUCAGAGAGGGAACACGGUGGUCACGGUGGACUGUUUCCAGUAAAGCUCAGAGAGGGAACACGGUGGUAACGGUGGACUGUUUCCAGUAAGGCUCAGAGAGGGAACACGGUGGUCAAGGUGGACUGUUUCCAGUAAAGCUCAGAGAGGGAACACGGUGGUCACGGUGGACUGUUUCCAGUAAAGCUCAGAGAGGGAACACGGUGGUCACGGUGGACUGUUUCCAGUAAAGCUCAGAGAGGGAACACGGUGGUCAUGGUGGACUGUUUCCAGUAAAGCUCAGAGAGGGAACACGGUGGUCACGGUGGACUGUUUCCAGUAAAGCUCAGAGAGGGAACACGGUGGUCACGGUGGACUGUUUCCAGUAAAGCUCAGAGAGGGAACACGGUGGUCACGGUGGACUGUUUCCAGUAAAGCUCAGAGAGGGAACACGGUGGUCACGGUGGACUGUUUCCAGUAAAGCUCAGAGAGGGAACACGGUGGUCACGGUGGACUGUUUCCAGUAAAGCUCAGAGAGGGAACACGGUGGUCACGGUGGACUGUUUCCAGUAAGGCUCAGAGAGGGAACACGGUGGUCAGGGUGGACUGUUUCCAGUAAGGCUCAGAGAGGGAACACGGUGGUCACGGUGGACUGUUUCCAGUAAAGCUCAGAGAGGGAACACGGUGGUCACGGUGGACUGUUUCCAGUAAAGCUCAGAGAGGGAACACGGUGGUCACGGUGGACUGUUUCCAGUAAAGCUCAGAGAGGGAACACGGUGGUCACGGUGGACUGUUUCCAGUAAAGCUCAGAGAGGGAACACGGUGGUCACGGUGGACUGUUUCCAGUAAGGCUCAGAGAGGGAACACGGUGGUCACGGUGGACUGUUUCCAGUAAAGCUCAGAGAGGGAACACGGUGGUCACGGCGGACUGUUUCCAGUAAAGCUCAGAGAGGGAACACGCUGGUCACGGUGGACUGUUUCCAGUAAGGCUCAGAGAGGGAACACGGUGGUCACGGUGGACUGUUUCCAGUAAGGCUCAGAGAGGGAACACGGUGGUCACGGUGGACUGUUUCCAGUAAAGCUCAGAGAGGGAACACGGUGGUCACGGCGGACUGUUUCCAGUAAAGCUCAGAGAGGGAACACGGUGGUCACGUGGACUGUUUCCAGUAAGGCUCAGAGAGGGAACACGGUGGUCAUGGUGGACUGUUUCCAGUAAAGCUCAGAGAGGGAACACGGUGGUCACGGUGGACUGUUUCCAGUAAAGCUCAGAGAGGGAACACGGUGGUCACGGUGGACUGUUUCCAGUAAAGCUCACAGAGGGAACACGGUGGUCACGGUGGACUGUUUCCAGUAAAGCUCAGAGAGGGAACACGGUGGUCACGGUGGACUGUUUCCAGUAAAGCUCAGAGAGGGAACACAGUGGUCACGGUGGACUGUUUCCAGUAAAGCUCAGAGAGGGAACACGGUGGUCACGGUGGACUGUUUCCAGUAAAGCUCACAGAGGGAACACGGUGGUCACGGUGGACUGUUUCCAGUAAGGCUCAGAGAGGGAACACGGUGGUCAUGGUGGACUGUUUCCAGUAAGGCUCAGAGAGGGAACACGGUGGUCACGGUGGACUGUUUCCAGUAAAGCUCAGAGAGGGAACACGGUGGUCACGGCGGACUGUUUCCAGUAAAGCUCAGAGAGGGAACACGCUGGUCACGGUGGACUGUUUCCAGUAAAGCUCAGAGAGGGAACACGGUGGUCAUGGUGGACUGUUUCCAGUAAGGCUCAGAGAGGGAACACGGUGGUCACGGUGGACUGUUUCCAGUAAAGCUCAGAGAGGGAACACGGUGGUCACGGCGGACUGUUUCCAGUAAGGCUCAGAGAGGGAACACGGUGGUCACGGUGGACUGUUUCCAGUAAAGCUCAGAGAGGGAACACGGUGGUCACGGUGGACUGUUUCCAGUAAAGCUCAGAGAGGGAACACGGUGGUCACGGCGGACUGUUUCCAGUAAAGCUCAGAGAGGGAACACGGUGGUCACGUGGACUGUUUCCAGUAAGGCUCAGAGAGGGAACACGGUGGUCAUGGUGGACUGUUUCCAGUAAAGCUCAGAGAGGGAACACGGUGGUCACGGUGGACUGUUUCCAGUAAAGCUCAGAGAGGGAACACAGUGGUCACGGUGGACUGUUUCCAGUAAAGCUCAGAGAGGGAACACGGUGGUCAUGGUGGACUGUUUCCAGUAAAGCUCAGAGAGGGAACACGGUGGUCACGGUGGACUGUUUCCAGUAAAGCUCAGAGAGGGAACACGGUGGUCACGGUGGACUGUUUCCAGUAAAGCUCACAGAGGGAACACGGUGGUCACGGUGGACUGUUUCCAGUAAAGCUCAGAGAGGGAACACAGUGGUCACGGUGGACUGUUUCCAGUAAAGCUCAGAGAGGGAACACGGUGGUCACGGCGGACUGUUUCCAGUAAGGCUCAGAGAGGGAACACGGUGGUCACGUGGACUGUUUCCAGUAAGGCUCAGAGAGGGAACACGGUGGUCACGGCGGACUGUUUCCAGUAAAGCUCAGAGAGGGAACACGGUGGUCACGGUGGACUGUUUCCAGUAAAGCUCAGAGAGGGAACACGGUGGUCACGGUGGACUGUUUCCAGUAAAGCUCAGAGAGGGAACACGGUGGUCACGGUGGACUGUUUCCAGUAAGGCUCAGAGAGGGAACACGGUGGUCAUGGUGGACUGUUUCCAGUAAAGCUCAGAGAGGGAACACGGUGGUCACGGUGGACUGUUUCCAGUAAAGCUCAGAGAGGGAACACGGUGGUCACGGUGGACUGUUUCCAGUAAAGCUCACAGAGGGAACACGGUGGUCACGGUGGACUGUUUCCAGUAAAGCUCAGAGAGGGAACACGGUGGUCAUGGUGGACUGUUUCCAGUAAAGCUCAGAGAGGGAACACGGUGGUCACGGUGGACUGUUUCCAGUAAAGCUCACAGAGGGAACACAGUGGUCACGGCGGACUGUUUCCAGUAAAGCUCAGAGAGGGAACACGGUGGUCACGGUGGACUGUUUCCAGUAAAGCUCACAGAGGGAACACGGUGGUCACGGUGGAGAGAGAGUGAGAGUGAGAGUGAGAGUGAGAGUGAGAGAGAGAGAAAAUACUAAUAAUAAUAUGAGAACUGAGGACAGGGAGAAAAGUGAGAGAAAGAGCACUGUCCUCCUCCAAACAUUUUAGAGGUGUGACUCUUAAGAGUAGGACAUGAAUAUCCCAAAUGUGGGUGUGCCACUUAGCACUUAGUGAGUCUGACAGAUAGGGAAUUGUGUACUACGGUGGUACUAAGUACUGUAUAACUUACACAAUGUUCCACAGACCUACUUUUUGAAUAGACGGAUAACACUUCCCCCCAUAGGCGUUCAAGUGUAUUGCAGAAUUCAGUAUCUCUUUACAAAUCUGUUAAAAGAGGCAUGCAAAAGCUGUUUGACACAUAAUAACAACCAUGGUUUACAUACAUCUACACACACAAAGUAGCCUACCACAGCAAACAUAUGAUAUUCCAUUGCACCAAAAUGCGCAUCAUUAGCACACCUUGGAAAGCCCAUACCUGCGCGUCAGAUUUGCGCAUAGCAUCAAGUUACUACGCUACUCCCUGCUCGGACAACAAAGACCUCUCCGUCCCCUCCUAGUUCUCUGCUGAGGCCUGUGUAUCUCUGACAGACUCAGACCCGCUGUGUGGUGUCUGACUGGUGCCAACUUCUGCGGGUGAGGCGGGAGGGGGGGCCUGCCCUAAUCUUGCUGACAUCACGCAUUCCUUGGAAGAGAUGUAGCCUA